GUAGUUGUUUUAACAGGUUCUGCUAUUUGCUGGCUAUAUUUAGCUAGUAACACCGCCUAGUACUUAAGUUUCUUUAAUUACUAACAAGAGAAAACUUUGUGCUAGUCUUUUUUGGUUGAUAUGGGACAUAAUUAAUGCUACUAGUGUUAAAUCAUUGACUCUAUGAUAAGUUCUCUUCAUUUACCUUAUUCUCCAUUGCUAACUGUGGCUCUGUUCCUCAGCUUUAUCUGAAAGGCUGAAUAUAAGGCGCUAUGCCCUCCCCAUCCCCUCUGUACUAAAAAAAUUGGUAUUCUGAAAUAGGAGUGUGUAGUUUCUCUGUCAGAUUGCUGUUGUUGCUGGACAUUCUAGAA
rnacentral:lncRNA from 1 species